rnacentral:rRNA from 1 species
AUUGAACGCUGGCGGUAUGCUUUACACAUGCAAGUCGAACGGUAACAGGUCUUCGGAUGCUGACGAGUGGCGAACGGUGAGUAAUGUAUCGGAACGUGCCUAGUAAUGGGGGAUAACCACUCGAAAGAGUGACUAAUACCGCAUAAUAUCUCAGGAUGAAAGCGGGGGACCGUAAGGCCUCGCGUUAUUAGAGCGGCCGAUAUCAGAUUAGGUAGUUGGUGGGAUAAAAGCCUACCAAGCCAACGAUCUGUAGCUGGUCUGAGAGGACGACCAGCCACACUGGGACUGAGACACGGCCCAGACUCCUACGGGAGGCAGCAGUGGGGAAUUUUGGACAAUGGGCGAAAGCCUGAUCCAGCAAUACCGCGUGCAGGACGAAGGCCUUCGGGUUGUAAACUGCUUUUGUACGGAACGAAACGGUUCAGAUUAAUACUCUGAACUAAUGACGGUACCGUAAGAAUAAGCACCGGCUAACUACGUG